CCUACGGGGGGCUGCAGUGGGGAAUCUUGCGCAAUGGGCGAAAGCCUGACGCAGCGACGCCGCGUGAGUGAUGAAGGCCUUCGGGUUGUAAAGCUCUGUGGGGAGAGACGAAUAAGCUGUGGCUAAUAUCCACGGUGAUGACGGUAUCUCCUUAGCAAGCACCGGCUAACUCUGUGCCAGCAGCCGCGGUAAGACAGAGGGUGCAAACGUUGUUCGGAAUUACUGGGCGUAAAGCGCAUGUAGGCGGCUUUGCAGGUCGGAUGUGAAAGCCCUCG
rnacentral:rRNA from 1 species